CCAGUUGUAGGCCAGCGGCCAGGCCACCUCAUUUGGGUUGAGGGGAUCGGGGGUUCGAGUCCCUCCAACUGGACCA
rnacentral:tRNA from 1 species